rnacentral:rRNA from 1 species
AUUGAACGCUGGCGGCAGGCCUAACACAUGCAAGUCGAGCGGAUGAAGGGAGCUUGCUCCUGGAUUCAGCGGCGGACGGGUGAGUAUGCCUAGGAAUCUGCCUGGUAGUGGGGGAUAACGUCCGGAAACGGGCGCUAAUACCGCAUACGUCCGGAGGGAGCAAGUGGGGGAUCUUCGGACCUCACGCUAUCAGAUGAGCCUAGGUCGGAUUAGCUAGUUGGUGGGGUAAAGGCCUACCAAGGCGACGAUCCGUAACUGGUCUGAGAGGAUGAUCAGUCACACUGGAACUGAGACACGGUCCAGACUCCUACGGGAGGCAGCAGUGGGGAAUAUUGGACAAUGGGCGAAAGCCUGAUCCAGCCAUGCCGCGUGUGUGAAGAAGGUCUUCGGAUUGUAAAGCACUUUAAGUUGGGAGGAAGGGCAGUAAGUUAAUACCUUGCUGUUUUGACGUUACCAACAGAAUAAGCACCGGCUAACUUCGUG